rnacentral:rRNA from 1 species
UGGGGAAUAUUGGACAAUGGGCGAAAGCCUGAUCCAGCCAUGCCGCGUGUGUGAAGAAGGUCUUCGGAUUGUAAAGCACUUUAAGUUGGGAGGAAGGGCAUUAACCUAAUACGUUAGUGUUUUGACGUUACCGACAGAAUAAGCACCGGCUAACUCUGUGCCAGCAGCCGCGGUACUACAGAGGGUGCAAGCGUUAAUCGGAAUUACUGGGCGUAAAGCGCGCGUAGGUGGUUUGUUAAGUUGGAUGUGAAAGCCCCGGGCUCAACCUGGGAACUGCAUCCAAAACUGGCAAGCUAGAGUACGGUAGAGGGUGGUGGAAUUUCCUGUGUAGCGGUGAAAUGCGUAGAUAUAGGAAGGAACACCAGUGGCGAAGGCGACCACCUGGACUGAUACUGACACUGAGGUGCGAAAGCGUGGGGAGCAAACA